ACCCUCCAUUCCAGCCUGGAGUUGGUGGAUCCUCCCGCCGCGUCCAACCGCAAACUGGUCAUCGUGAUGGUAGGAGCGGUGCUAAUCCUGAGCAUCAGCAGUGUUGGAGUCCUUGUGGCGACGUAUCUUGGCAGAACAGCCUGCAUCCAGGUAUGGGGGCGAAAGCCCAGUGGGCACGACCCUUCCUCUCCUCCAUCUUGGCCACCAAGGAUCCACAGUUGGGCCCGCAAACAGCGACGUGGGGCCGAGAAGCAGAGCAGGGACUGAUCCCAAAGGCAUGCUAAGGGGAGCGGCGUUCCUUGAAGCCCUUCAAAGAUGGGCGCCAUCAAAAGCUCUGCUGAUUGGGACCCUCCAAAAAGAUCAGGGUCUGUGGGAAACCAAAGUUUAGCAAGCCUGUUUGGGAGGAAAUGGAUUUGAAACCCCCCCCCCCCCGUGGCUUGUCCAAGAAGACUUUCGGGCAAGUCUAACCACAGUUCUGGCUUCCAGGGCAAAAUGCCAGCAAGGCUAAACACGAUGGCGUCUGUAAUAAUUCGGAAUCUGACACUAUUGUCUUUCUCCUUUUCUCUUAUCCUGCUGCAGAGGGAUCCCUUUGGCUACCUGCCCCCCCAAGUCAANGUCCAGAACGAAGCCUCCUUGUUGCUUGCCCUCAGCGAACUGGGGGAGCAGGGUGUGGCACCAGGCAUCACCUGUGACCUGAGGAACCACUUGAUGGUGUACCACGGGCAGCCAGAAGGGUGCGUGGUGCGCAAAAUGGAAGCUUCUGAACCACUNCCUUCCUGCCAGGACCUAGAGAACUACUUCCAGGCUGUUCUAGUAAGGAUCCUAAAAAAAUAUUUUCAUGGGGACGGGUCCUUAUUGCAGCCGGAGGGGCAAGCAGCCAACUACAAACUUCAUUUACAGCCACUCUGUUUAUGCUGUUGGCAAUCUUGGAUUUUCUGGAAAAGGUACAAAAUNUUUUUUUGCUGGCUUGCAGGACAGGUGCCUUUUGCUGCCUACAAGUGAAUUUAGAACCGGCGGCCCUUAGGAAAUUCUUAAAUGCUGCCACAAAACUGACAAGCUAAAAAUUUCUUGUAAAAUUGGCAGCAGGUGCCUGCAUGUGCUAAAAGCCUUAUUUNCUCUUGCUCCAAAACAAUGGUUUGUUCCUAACACAGGAUUAAACAGGCAAACAAGGGCUUUUUCAAACCUUGCCUGGGAAGUCUCUCCACAGUCAGAAAAGGUUUGAGAGAUCUGCAACCUUAAUGUCUUAUCACAGAGAGCUUUAUGGGGGGAAAACGCCAAUAAAUGCUGAUUUUGUCCAAUGGGUUCCA
rnacentral:lncRNA from 1 species